UUUAAGUGUAGUUGUGAGUUUCUAUGUCCAACGUUUGACCGUUCGUCUUAUUUGAAAUGAUUUUAUGAUUAGUGUUUUUAUGUUGUUAGAUGAUAAACAUGAAUGAUACUUCAUGCAUGACUUAAUUUUUAAAACUUUAUCAUAAAUUUUUCAAAUAAGACGGACGGUCAAACGUUGAACACGAAAACCCACUACACUUACA
rfam:Oryza meridionalis cultivar OR44 (W2112) chromosome 12, whole genome shotgun sequence.